GAUGAACGCUGGCGGCGUGCCUAAUACAUGCAAGUCGAGCGAACAGACGAGGAGCUUGCUCCUCUGACGUUAGCGGCGGACGGGUGAGUAACACGUGGAUAACCUACCUAUAAGACUGGGAUAACUUCGGGAAACCGGAGCUAAUACCGGAUAAUAUAUUGAACCGCAUGGUUCAAUAGUGAAAGACGGUUUUGCUGUCACUUAUAGAUGGAUCCGCGCCGAAUUAGCUAGUUGGUAAGGUAACGGCUUACCAAGGCAACGAUGCGUAGCCGACCUGAGAGGGUGAUCGGCCAAACUGGAACUGAGACACGGUCCAGACUCCUACGGGAGGCAGAAGUAGGGAAUCUUCCGCAAUGGGCGAAAGCUUGACGGAGCAACGCCGCGUGAGUGAUGAAGGUCUUCGGAUCGUAAAACUCUGUUAUUAGGGAAGAACAAAUGUGUAAGUAACUAUGCACGUCUUGACGGUACCUAAUCAGAAAGCCACGGCUAACUACGUG
rnacentral:rRNA from 1 species